GUUCUAAUUCGUGUGAGACAUCCCAUAAAAUUGAAACGAUACAUAGAAGAUUAGUAUGAUCCCUGUGCUAGGAUGACCGCAUAAAUCGAGAAAUAGUACAAAUUAAU
rnacentral:snRNA from 1 species